GACGAACGCUGGCGGCGUGCUUAACACAUGCAAGUCGAACGGAAAGGCCCUGCUUUUGUGGGGUGCUCGAGUGGCGAACGGGUGAGUAACACGUGAGUAACCUGCCCUUGACUUUGGGAUAACUUCAGGAAACUGGGGCUAAUACCGGAUAGGAGCUCCUGCUGCAUGGUGGGGGUUGGAAAGUUUCGGCGGUUGGGGAUGGACUCGCGGCUUAUCAGCUUGUUGGUGGGGUAGUGGCUUACCAAGGCUUUGACGGGUAGCCGGCCUGAGAGGGUGACCGGCCACAUUGGGCCUGAGAUACGGCCCAGACUCCUACGGGAGGCAGCAGUGGGGAAUAUUGCACAAUGGGCGGAAGCCUGAUGCAGCAACGCCGCGUGCGGGAUGACGGCCUUCGGGUUGGAAACCGCUUUCGCCUGUGACGAAGCGUGAGUGACGGUAAUGGGUAAAGAAGCACCGGCUAACUACGUG
rnacentral:rRNA from 1 species